rnacentral:rRNA from 1 species
GAUGAACGCUAGCGGCAGGCUUAACACAUGCAAGUCGAGGGGUAGGUUACUUCGGUAAUUGAGACCGGCGCACGGGUGCGUAACGCGUAUACAAUCUACCUUUUACAGAGGGAUAGCCCAGAGAAAUUUGGAUUAAUACCUCAUAGUAUUUUUGAAUCGCAUGAUUUGAUUAUUAAAGUUCCAACGGUAAAAGAUGAGUAUGCGUCCCAUUAGCUAGAUGGUAAGGUAACGGCUUACCAUGGCUACGAUGGGUAGGGGUCCUGAGAGGGAGAUCCCCCCANACUGGUACUGAGACACGGACCAGACUCCUACGGGAGGCAGCAGUGAGGAAUAUUGGACAAUGGGCGCAAGCCUGAUCCAGCCAUGCCGCGUGCAGGAAGAAGGUCCUAUGGAUUGUAAACUGCUUUUANACAAGAAGAAACNCUCCCUGUGAGGGAACUUGACGGUACUGUAUGAAUAAGGACCGG